rnacentral:rRNA from 1 species
CACCGCCCGUCACAUCAUGAAAGCCGUUUGUACCCGAAGUCGCCGUGUUAACUUGCAAAAGAGACAGGCGCCGAAGGUAUGGAUGGUGAUUGGGAUG